CAGUUAACGCAUAAGUGCUCCGCCUGGGGAGUACGGUGCAACACUAAACUCAAGGAAUUGACGGGACCCGCACAAGCAGCGGAGCAUGUGGUUAAUUCGAAGCAACGCGAAAAACCUACCAGGGCUUGACAUCCCUCUGACCGGAUCUUAACCGAUCCUUUCUUCGGACAGAGGUGACAGGUGGUGCAUGGUGUCGUCAGCUCGUGUCGUGAGAUGUUGGGUUAAGUCCCGCAACGAGCGCAACCCUUGUCGUCAGUUACUAACAUUAAGUUGAGGACUCUGACGAGACUGCCGAGGUCAACUCGGAGGAAGGUGGGGAUGACGUCAAAUCAUCAUGCCCCUUAUGUUCUGGGCUACACACGUGCUACAAUGGCCGGUACAAUGAGAAGCAAUACAGCGAUGUGGAGCAAAUCACCAAAACCGGUCCCAGUUCGGAUUGCAGGCUGCAACUCGCCUGCAUGAAGUCGGAGUUGCUAGUAAUCGCGAAUCAGCAUGUCGCGGUGAAUGCGUUCCCGGGUCUUGUACACACCGCCCGUCACACCAUGGAAGUUGGGGGCGCCCAAAGUUGGCUAAUAAAUCUGCUACCUAAGGCGAAACCAAUGACUGGGGUG
rnacentral:rRNA from 1 species